CCUCAUCUCAGCGCACCCGCACCCGCACCCGGCCGCCUUCGUCUUCGUCCCGUUCCCUCCAGUCCGGCUAUAUAACCCGCGCGCCCUCCCAUCCGCCGCUCCAUUCCGUCGUCGUCGUCAGCAGCUUCUGCUUGCUCUGGGGGGAAGGAGAGAGAGAGAGCGAGAGAGAGAUCUAGUAGAGAGGCUAGCUAGGUGGUCCUCGAACGAAGAUGUUGGCGGUGUUCAGCGGGCAGGUGGUGGAGGUGCCGGCGGAGCUGGUGGCGGCGGGCAGCCGGACGCCGUCGCCCAAGACGAAGGCGUCGCAGCUGGUGGGGCGCUUCCUGGCCGCCUCCGAGCCGGCCGUGUCCGUGCAGCUCGGCGACCACGGCCACCUCGCCUACUCCCACACCAACCAGGCGCUCCUCCGCCCCAGGUCGUUCGCGGCCAAGGACGAGGUGUUCUGCCUGUUCGAGGGGGUGCUGGACAACCUGGGUCGUCUGAGCCAGCAGCACGGGCUGUCAAGCAAGGGCGCCAACGAGGUGCUCCUCGUCAUCGAGGCCUACAAGACGCUGCGCGACCGCGCGCCCUACCCGGCCAGCUUCAUGCUCGCCCAGCUCACCGGCUCCUACGCCUUCGUCCUCUUCGACAAGUCCACCAACUCCCUGCUAGUCGCAUCCGACCCCGAGGGCAGGGUGCCGCUCUUCUGGGGGAUCACCGCCGACGGCUGCGUCGCCUUCUCCGACGACAUCGACAUGCUCAAAGGCUCAUGCGGCAAGUCGCUCGCGCCGUUCCCGCAAGGCUGCUUCUACUCCAACGCCCUCGGAGGGCUCAAGUGCUACGAGAACCCCAAGCACAAGGUCACCGCUGUCCCCGCCGACGAAGAAGAGAUCUGCGGUGCCACUUUCAAGGUGGUGGAAGGCUCUACUGUCCUGACGGCGCUGCACUGAUCGGUCAUCAGCUGGCGGAGGCGAUGCGAUGAUGAUGCAGAACUUUGUACAUGCGUUGGUGGAUGGUGGUGUAACAUAGUGGCUGCCAACAAGUCAUGCUCAUGCAAACCGAUGAAUCUAUCUCUGUAUCAUCGAUCUCGGUUGCUUGCUAGUCCAGACUCCAGACAUGGCUAUAUAUAUAUAGCUGGUGCUAAUAAAUAGGAGUAUAAUCGUCAUAUCGAUCGGUUGCGUGUGGAAUGCCAAUCAUGUGUGUAAUCUGUUGGCAAAUAACAAACCUCUGUUCCUCCCUGCUGCUGUUGUCCGUGCGAUCAUGAUUCAGAACUGGCGUGGGCGCCAAUAACUCAGAAGAGAGACUUGCUGUAUAUGCAUGCUAGUAUGCAUUGUCCCUCUCUUGUCAAUGCUUGUAAUCGAACUUUAUUAUGAAAACCAAAACGAGAAUCCAACCAAAUAAACA
rnacentral:misc_RNA from 1 species